rnacentral:lncRNA from 1 species
UAGGUUACGAUAUACCUAGAGGAGGGGAAUAGGUGUUUACUUCUUUUAACCUAAAUCUUUUAAAUUUAAUUAUUCUUUAAUAUUUACAAAUUAGAAAAAGAAAUCAAUUGAACUAAGAGAUAAUGAUUUUUCAUAUGAAAAACCACCUGCACAAUCUAAUGGAGGCUAUGUGAAUGUAAAAACCAUAGGUCAAAAAACUAUAAAU